AGAAAACACAUCAUGACAUAUUUAGUGAAAUAUUUAGUCUUCCAUAGUUGAUUAUGUAAUGAUAAUAUCUUGAAGAAUUAUCUAUUACCGAUAUGCACUGUGUUAGUGAAGAAUGUUUGAAGACCGAGAGAUUAAACUGUUACUUGGAGAGCUUUAAUAUUUCUUUUAUUCUAUGUUUUGUUGGCAAUUAUAUAUCACUAAUCUUACCCUCUUAGGACUUUAGAAUUGAAUCCGGCAUCCUUCAUUAAUACACAUCAAAUACUUUUUAAUUUUAUUUGUACACACAAUUGUAGACUUGAAUAAAUUAUAGGUUUUAAAAGGCUUGAAC
rnacentral:lncRNA from 1 species